rnacentral:rRNA from 1 species
CGGGGUGAGUAAUGUCUGGGAAACUGCCUGAUGGAGGGGGAUAACUGCUGGAAACGGUAGCUAAUACCGCAUAACGUCGCAAGACCAAAGAGGGGGACCUUCGGGCCUCUUGCCAUCGGAUGUGCCCAGAUGGGAUUAGCUAGUAGGUGGGGUAACGGCUCACCUAGGCGACGAUCCCUAGCUGGUCUGAGAGGAUGACCAGCCACACUGGAACUGAGACACGGCCCAG